GUCUGAUGGAAGCGAUGGAAAAACGUUGCGAGGAAGGAAAGCCAUUUAAUAUACAUAGUGAAUUCCAAGGCCUCACCAUGGAAGUCAUCGGCUCGUGUGGUUUUGGUCUCGAGCUGAACUCAGUGCGAGAUAAAACGUCACCAUUUCUGGCAGCAUGUCGUAAAGUGUUCUCCGGGUCACUGGUGAGGAUGGGGCCCUUCUUUAUUUCCGGGAUUUUUCCAUCGAUGACAGGCCUAGCAAAG